rnacentral:rRNA from 1 species
UUAAGCGACUAAGCGUACACGGUGGAUGCCCUGGCAGUCAGAGGCGAUGAAGGACGUGCUAAUCUGCGAUAAGCGUCGGUAAGGUGAUAUGAACCGUUAUAACCGGCGAUUUCCGAAUGGGGAAACCCAGUGUGUUUCGACACACUAUCAUUAACUGAAUCCAUAGGUUAAUGAGGCGAACCGGGGGAACUGAAACAUCUAAGUACCCCGAGGAAAAGAAAUCAACCGAGAUUCCCCCAGUAGCGGCGAGCGAACGGGGAGCAGCCCAGAGCCUGAAUCAGUGUGUGUGUUAGUGGAAGCGUCUGGAAAGGCGCGCGAUACAGGGUGACAGCCCCGUACACAAAAAUGCACAUGCUGUGAGCUCGAUGAGUAGGGCGGGACACGUGGUAUCCUGUCUGAAUAUGGGGGGACCAUCCUCCAAGGCUAAAUACUCCUGACUGACCGAUAGUGAACCAGUACCGUGAGGGAAAGGCGAAAAGAACCCCGGCGAGGGGAGUGAAAAAGAACCUGAAACCGUGUACGUACAAGCAGUGGGAGCACAGAGCAAUCUGUGUGACUGCGUACCUUUUGUAUAAUGGGUCAGCGACUUAUAUUCUGUAGCAAGGUUAACCGAAUAGGGGAGCCGAAGGGAAACCGAGUCUUAACUGGGCGUUAAGUUGCAGGGUAUAGACCCGAAACCCGGUGAUCUAGCCAUGGGCAGGUUGAAGGUUGGGUAACACUAACUGGAGGACCGAACCGACUAAUGUUGAAAAAUUAGCGGAUGACUUGUGGCUGGGGGUGAAAGGCCAAUCAAACCGGGAGAUAGCUGGUUCUCCCCGAAAGCUAUUUAGGUAGCGCCUCGUGAAUUCAUCUCCGGGGGUAGAGCACUGUUUCGGCAAGGGGGUCAUCCCGACUUACCAACCCGAUGCAAACUGCGAAUACCGGAGAAUGUUAUCACGGGAGACACACGGCGGGUGCUAACGUCCGUCGUGAAGAGGGAAACAACCCAGACCGCCAGCUAAGGUCCCAAAGUCAUGGUUAAGUGGGAAACGAUGUGGGAAGGCCCAGACAGCCAGGAUGUUGGCUUAGAAGCAGCCAUCAUUUAAAGAAAGCGUAAUAGCUCACUGGUCGAGUCGGCCUGCGCGGAAGAUGUAACGGGGCUAAACCAUGCACCGAAGCUGCGGCAGCGACGCUGAUGCGUUGUUGGGUAGGGGAGCGUUCUGUAAGCCUGCGAAGGUGUGCUGUGAGGCAUGCUGGAGGUAUCAGAAGUGCGAAUGCUGACAUAAGUAACGAUAAAGCGGGUGAAAAGCCCGCUCGCCGGAAGACCAAGGGUUCCUGUCCAACGUUAAUCGGGGCAGGGUGAGUCGACCCCUAAGGCGAGGCCGAAAGGCGUAGUCGAUGGGAAACAGGUUAAUAUUCCUGUACUUGGUGUUACUGCGAAGGGGGGACGGAGAAGGCUAUGUUGGCCGGGCGACGGUUGUCCCGGUUUAAGCGUGUAGGCUGGUUUUCCAGGCAAAUCCGGAAAAUCAAGGCUGAGGCGUGAUGACGAGGCACUACGGUGCUGAAGCAACAAAUGCCCUGCUUCCAGGAAAAGCCUCUAAGCAUCAGGUAACAUCAAAUCGUACCCCAAACCGACACAGGUGGUCAGGUAGAGAAUACCAAGGCGCUUGAGAGAACUCGGGUGAAGGAACUAGGCAAAAUGGUGCCGUAACUUCGGGAGAAGGCACGCUGAUAUGUAGGUGAAGUCCCUCGCGGAUGGAGCUGAAAUCAGUCGAAGAUACCAGCUGGCUGCAACUGUUUAUUAAAAACACAGCACUGUGCAAACACGAAAGUGGACGUAUACGGUGUGACGCCUGCCCGGUGCCGGAAGGUUAAUUGAUGGGGUCAGCGCAAGCGAAGCUCUUGAUCGAAGCCCCGGUAAACGGCGGCCGUAACUAUAACGGUCCUAAGGUAGCGAAAUUCCUUGUCGGGUAAGUUCCGACCUGCACGAAUGGCGUAAUGAUGGCCAGGCUGUCUCCACCCGAGACUCAGUGAAAUUGAACUCGCUGUGAAGAUGCAGUGUACCCGCGGCAAGACGGAAAGACCCCGUGAACCUUUACUAUAGCUUGACACUGAACAUUGAGCCUUGAUGUGUAGGAUAGGUGGGAGGCUUUGAAGUGUGGACGCCAGUCUGCAUGGAGCCGACCUUGAAAUACCACCCUUUAAUGUUUGAUGUUCUAACGUGGACCCGUAAUCCGGGUUGCGGACAGUGUCUGGUGGGUAGUUUGACUGGGGCGGUCUCCUCCUAAAGAGUAACGGAGGAGCACGAAGGUUGGCUAAUCCUGGUCGGACAUCAGGAGGUUAGUGCAAUGGCAUAAGCCAGCUUGACUGCGAGCGUGACGGCGCGAGCAGGUGCGAAAGCAGGUCAUAGUGAUCCGGUGGUUCUGAAUGGAAGGGCCAUCGCUCAACGGAUAAAAGGUACUCCGGGGAUAACAGGCUGAUACCGCCCAAGAGUUCAUAUCGACGGCGGUGUUUGGCACCUCGAUGUCGGCUCAUCACAUCCUGGGGCUGAAGUAGGUCCCAAGGGUAUGGCUGUUCGCCAUUUAAAGUGGUACGCGAGCUGGGUUUAGAACGUCGUGAGACAGUUCGGUCCCUAUCUGCCGUGGGCGCUGGAGAAUUGAGGGGGGCUGCUCCUAGUACGAGAGGACCGGAGUGGACGCAUCACUGGUGUUCGGGUUGUCAUGCCAAUGGCACUGCCCGGUAGCUAAAUGCGGAAGAGAUAAGUGCUGAAAGCAUCUAAGCACGAAACUUGCCCCGAGAUGAGUUCUCCCUGACUCCUUGAGAGUCCUGAAGGAACGUUGAAGACGACGACGUUGAUAGGCCGGGUGUGUAAGCGCAGCGAUGCGUUGAGCUAACCGGUACUAAUGAACCGUGAGGCUUAACCUU